CCCAGGUUGAAUUAACAGUUCAUGUUACAUAAAUCGACCUUGAUGCUUUUGAAGUUGCAGUCUCGUGAGCACUCUGAUGGGACUAAGGAUGAAGAUUCUCAAACAUGUAGGUAAGAUGAGGGGACUCAACACCAACACACAGAUACACAUGGAUACAUAUGGUAAUACCUCCCUAAAUUAAUUGGCAAUGAAUUAUCAGAAAGCAAAUUUUGAUUUUUGAAAUGAAUAAAAUUGCAAUAAGAUGAGUAAAGUGUUAUUUCUUUUUUAUGGGAGCUUACCCGAAUAUAGAACGUCAAUUUAUCAGGGGAGUUGUAACUUAUUUUGAGCAUCUGCUUUUGAGAUUUGAUGGCUUUUGACUCCUUGAUUUCUAUAGGAUAUGGUGUUGGCUUGAUGUUCUCAGCAGGAAGUUUUUUGUUGAGAUUUGUUUAUUUAUUGAGAUUGAUUUCUAUAGGGUAAGGCAUUGGAUUGAUGUUUUUAACAGGAACCUUUUUUGUUGACAUUGGUCUAUUUGGAAAUAUGAUGACAGAUAUGAACCAAUCUUGAAAAGUAUAUAUCACUAUCAUUUUUUUUUGUGAGAUAAAUAUCACUCUUUUGGACUACAAGAUCACUCUCUGACAGUCAUUGGCCUGCUUUUUUCAAUUUUACAAGCCUACAAGUAAGGCUUCAUAACCAACAUACAGAAAGGAUUGGUCAUGUUGACGUUCCUAGAGAACUGGAACUUCUAAUAUAUUCCCCUGGGAACAUACUCCCAUAGCUUUCUACUUUCAUCAACUAGCCAUAAAUUAAUUAUGCUUUGGAUUUCUGUUAACUAACCACUAUGAGAAAGGAUUAUCAAUUAGCUAAACAGUUGGUAGACUAGAAUAGUUGACAGUCUUCCUUCAAAUAUUUCUUCUGGUUAUGAUUGGUAGGGUAUUUCAUAGAAAAUGCAGACUGUUUCCCUAUGAUGAAAAGGAUGCUGGAAUCCCUUGAAUUGGUGAUCGAGAAGCUACUGUCGUGGCAUUAAGGAUUCUUGAGGCUCUAAGGCAUCAGUUUGCAGCAUUUUUGGUGUACCAGGUCUCUGAAGGAAUUUGAAAAAUUGGAUGGUAAAGCAUACCACAUACCGUAGAAAAGCAAGAGCUGUAUGAGCCAAAACAAUUGGUUCGGAAAUAACUCAGUAGAAAGAAUAAGACUUUUACAGCUAAAAUGAUUUUGCAGCGGCAUAAAACAAUCGGUUUGGAAACAACUCAGUAGAAAAAAUACGACUUUCUGGAAAUGUUACAUGCUGAUUUGAUACAGUGGGAAAUCAUAGUAAAACCAUUCUUCUAGAGAUACAGAGCUUUUUUUUGGGGGCUGAUGGAUAAGGAUAGUUGAACCACAGGAGUUGGAACCAACCUUGUAGAGAUACAGAACUUCUUUAGUUGAACUCAAUAGACAGAAGGGUGAAUUUUGGAAACAUCACAUGCUGAUUUCAUACUGUGGGAAAUCAUAGUAAAACCAACCUUGUAGAGAUAGUGUUACAGUCCUUACUAACAGAUAUCGAUAAUGGGACGAUUCACAGCGAAAUCAGUAGGUAGAAUGACAUUUUUCUUUGAUUUUCUGCUUUUGCCUACAUUUAGAAAUUAAAGAAAUAACUAGGGCCCAUUGGAUAGAGUGAACCCUAAUGCUGUUUUUCUCCUACACCAGAUGAUAUAUACAAUGAGGGUAGUUAAUUCUUCAAAAUUUGAAUUUCCAAAAUUAUUUAAAACUACCCUUGUCUUAUGAUAGACUUAUUUAUUCCCCACCCUGAUACAUACUUCACACUUAACUAAAGACACUUAUAUAAAAAUUACACGAUAACAUUUAAAAUUUAGCACAUUCAUAAGCAAUUACGCAAGGUUAUUCCUUUAUAUUCCUUCUUUGAUAAACCUUAGGGCAAGGAAUUAUUUUUGUCCUUAACACACAGCUUUUUUCCUUUUUUUUUUUGGAGUGGGGGGAGGGGGAGGGUGUGGGUGUGGGUGAGGGGGAGGGGAUGAUGGAUAAGGCACUUAUUUGAACCAUAGGAAUUGAAGCUGCUGUUAUAUAUUUAAGAUGUUGGCAGAUCAAAUUCAUCCACUUGAAUUUAUAUCAAAUUAAAAGCUUUGUUUGAACUCUAGUCUAACAAUGAGAUAUUGAUGGCAAUGAGGAUGAUUACGGUUAUGUUGCUGUAUUUCUAAUCUGUUGUCCAAUGGAUGAUAGCUUUGAUCAUAUUUGUAGCAGUGACAGCUCAUAAUAUCCCUUAAAUCAGUUCAUCCUCUGUCGCUGAGUGUAACACCCCGUUUUUUUUUUUUUUCCUUCUAAUGGUAUAAGAUAAAGCACUCAUACGACUCAACACACAAAUCCCAUAUCAUUCCAAUCAUGCAUAAGAGAAACUUGUCCAUAUUCAUUGCUCCAAAUCAAUUGUACAUACAUCUCCACCUCUACAACACAUAGUAACACAUUAUCAAACAUUUCUAGAAGUUCAAUACUCAAACUAAGACACCUUUUCAAAACUACUUUAAGUCACAAACAAAACUUGUGCCCUAUGGCACUACCAAC
rnacentral:lncRNA from 1 species